rnacentral:tRNA from 1 species
CCGCUCGUAGCUCAAUGGAUAGAGCAUCCGGUUUCUACCCGGCAGGUUAGGGGUUCGAGUCCCUUCGAGCGGGCCA